UACGGAGGAUCCGAGCGUUAUCCGGAUUUAUUGGGUUUAAAGGGUGCGUAGGCGGCUUUUUAAGUCAGCGGUGAAAUUUUGCAGCUUAACUGUAACAGUGCCGUUGAUACUGGGGAGCUAGGAUUUGGUUGCUGUGGGUGGAAUGUGUGGUGUAGCGGUGAAAUGCUUAGAGAUCACACAGAAUAUCGAUUGCGAAGGCAGCUGACAAAGCCAAGAUUGACGCUGAGGCACGAAAGUGUGGGGAUCAAACAGGAUUAGA
rnacentral:rRNA from 1 species